rnacentral:rRNA from 1 species
CCUACGGGAGGCAGCAGUGGGGAAUAUUGGACAAUGGGCGAAAGCCUGAUCCAGCAAUGCCGCGUGAGUGAUGAGGGCCUUAGGGUUGUAAAGCUCUUUUACUGGGGAUGAUAAUGACAGUACCCAGAGAAUAAGCCCCGGCUAACUUCGUGCCAGCAGCCGCG